ACGGGUGAGUAACACGUAAGGAACCUGCCUCAAGGAUUGGGAUAACUCCGAGAAAUCGGAGCUAAUACCGGAUAGUUCAACGGACCGCAUGGUCCGCUGAUGAAAGGCGCUCCGGCGUCACCUUGAGAUGGCCUUGCGGUGCAUUAGCUAGUUGGUGGGGUAACGGCCCACCAAGGCGACGAUGCAUAGCCGACCUGAGAGGGUGAUCGGCCACACUGGGACUGAGACACGGCCCAGACUCCUACGGGAGGCAGCAGUAGGGAAUCUUCCACAAUGGACGAAAGUCUGAUGGAGCAACGCCGCGUGAGUGAUGAAGGUUUUCGGAUCGUAAAACUCUGUUGUAAGGGAAGAACACGUACGAGAGGAAAUGCUCGUACCUUGACGGUACCUUACGAGAAAGCCACGGCUAACUACGUGCCAGCAGCCGCGGUAAUACGUAGGUGGCAAGCGUUGUCCGGAAUUAUUGGGCGUAAAGCGCGCGCAGGCGGCCUUUUAAGUCUGAUGUGAAAGCCCCCGGCUCAACCGGGGAGGGCCAUUGGAAACUGGAAGGCUUGAGUACAGAAGAGAAGA
rnacentral:rRNA from 1 species